UAAUAAGCAUUAACUAGAUUUUUACUGCAUGGAAAUGUGAGUGCCAGUGCAAAACUUGUCAGCAUGAUGUUAAAGUGUUUGCCAGGGUGUUGAUAUGUUGUUUUGAGUUUUGAAUCUGUAAAAUUCUUUUUAGUCUUGUUUUGAGUUUUCUCAGGUUCUCAAGUAUGAGAUUUUUCACCCGGAAAAACUAGAUGCAUUAGCACACCUCAAUAAGCUGCACAAUUUGAGGUAUCAUUCAUACAAUGCCAACCAAAUAUGAAUUUGAUUGGCUGAGGCUGAGCGGCCUAAAAAUCUAACUUUUAAAACUUAUUUUUUUUGUCAUUCUAAAAACAACAACAACAAAAAAAGUGGUGCAUAAUAGAGUGAAGUUGAUUGUUAGACAACGACUGAUUGACCAUUGUGAUGUGAUGUAUUUGAGGCAAACUGAAUGCAUUAGCACAACAAAGCAAUAGCAAUUCGCCUUAGCAAACACCAGUAAUGAUCUCAAUGCCCUACAUCUGACUUCAACAAUUCAAAUAGGCUGAAUCAAAUUUGACUUAUAAAAACCUGACAAAUCUCCUAUAAAACCUCUCUUCUCCAAAGGCUUUACACAUCCUAGUUGCUAAUGAGUUUCUGGAGUGUAAACAUGAAAGCAACUGUUUUUCCACCAAAUGUUUCCUAUGCAUUUGUUUACAGAGGGUGGUGGCAGGAUCAGCAGCUGAUGAUCACCCCAAACCCAACCUAGCGCUAGUUGAAACAACUGGUUUUGCCUGACUUAACAUCCAAUUGGGUUAAAAUACCAAUAUAUCAUGCUAUUUGGUGGGAUUUCUCCAAAAUGCCUUUAGAUGUACAACCCAAACAUUGAAUGCACCUCUGUUUUAUACAGCUUAAUAAUUAUUUUGAUUUCAGUGUUAGAAUGUGCAUGGCUACAGGAUUUGGGAGUGAAAACAGAAACGGCUUUUCUAAUGAUCCUUAACAGCUCAGAACUGUACUUGAAGAACUUUGAAGUCACAAUAACCACAACACCACAACAACUGCAAUGUUCUUCUGCAAGAAUCUAAGGCUAGGUGGCUAGUAACUGCCGACGUGUUCUGCGAUAUUGCAGAACUCGAUAGUAUAAUUCCAGAGGAUACAAGACUUUCCACUUAAGUCAAAUACUGUUGGACAAAGCGGAGCUUCGGAGUUUAAAACUGAACGCUUGAAGAAAGAAACCAAACAUAGUACAUCCAGAGGAGAUUAACAGAUCAUUAUCACGAAGCAUACAAGUCAGGAUAUAUAAUUGCAUUGAAAUUUAGCUAUCAAAAACCAUGAAAAACCCUCUGCUAAGCUUUUAUUUAUAAUUUUUGCAAUACAAAAUUGCAUUUUUAACAGUUUUGUUUAUUAAUAAUAAUUUAUUCAUAUUAAUAAUAAUGUAUUAAUAAUAUCUCAGUAACACUAAAUGCACUACUUAGCAGCCAUAAACAGUCCAUGCAAUUUAUUAUGCAAAUAAUAAUGCAAUAUUACUUGGCAAAUUGUUCAUGCAUUUGGAAUGUAUUUAAUUUGUAAAUACUAGGGUAAGGGCUUGGCAGAACAUAAAGUGAUUAUUAUAAUAAAUUAAUUGAUAUUCAAUUAUUAUUAAAUAGAUAGAUAGCAUGCCAUUGUUGAUAUUUCAUCUUAGAGUGGCUUCAUUUGUGAAUCAGACAGAAAGGAAAUGGACAUAUGGUGUCAGGUCUGAACAUUGAUGCUGUUGGGUUGCCAAGUAUUUCUGUGCAUACAGCCAAGAGGGCAUUAUCAGACAGCUGAGGCAGCCAGCAGAAAUGAUUGAGAUAACUGCCCUUACAGUCCUCCUGAGCUCCAGUUCUUCACAUUGCUGUGGACUGGGGCAGGGUGUUCUAGAGCGGCCUGGUGGUGAAAGAGUCUGUCUGACCUGGAGACGCAUGGGGCGGGUGCCUGGUCAUUACAGGAAUUGGUUUCCUGGCUUCUGAAGUUACAAUCAGAGCCUGGUACUGUCUCUUUGAAAUCAAUCCCGCAACCCAUGACUUGGCAGACUGAAGUUUCUGUACAGAUUUCCCCGCAGGUUUAGGCUCUUGAAACCACCGGAUCUGAGAUCGCCUCAUGGAAAUGUCAUAGGGACGUUUGCCUAGAGUGAGAUUUACAUGGCUUGGAAAUGUAGACUUUAAACAGGAGGGCACAGGACGACUGGGAUAUCACAGUUUCCUUAUGGUUGUUUUCGUGAUUUUUCCUCCUCUUGCGUGGCACAAGCCAACAAUGCCUAGAGUUUACAAACCACUAAAUUUGUCUUUUCUGUUGUAGGCUUUUCAAAGUGAGGGACAAAAUCACUUUUUCCAUGCUCGUGGUCCCCGGCUUGUAAAGGUUUAGCGGGCCUGUGUUUAACAUCUGACACAAAGCCAAGAUCUUGGAGCCCGGCCAAACCAGACGUAUCACGUGUAGACUGUCUAUUCAAAUGAGCUUUGGAAAGAAUGCUGUAGAGGUAUUGGUGUCUCUCCUCUUGGUCUUGUAAAACUUUUCAUUAAGAUAAAGGGAACCGAGCUUGGCCAAAAGAGAUGCAUCUGAUAGGGGCUCUGUUUAAUCAUUUAUAUAUGCGCUGGGCAAUUAUACUUCAUGAAUAUCCACCAAUUCUUACAGUUUGGGGGCUAAUGAUGAAAGCAGAGUUGCUAGUCACCUUGUCUGAUUAUUUUUUUCAGAAUGUGCUGCCAGAAAGGCUGAAAAAUGCUUCUGAGCAUAUGCUUCUAGAGGCCAUCAGAUGACGUGUUUUAGUGUCUUAUUAGCAUGCACGGCUAGAAUUAGGUCUUGCUAUUGUAAAAUAUUCAGACUAGCUCGCCUUUGAAAGUCGUUCUUGAAGCAGGCCGUUCUGCUUAGUCUUGCAUUCAUUGUCACAGACCGACCAUGGCAUCCCUGGCAAGAUUCCACUGCUAAAUAUUUAAAGCUUGGACCGUGUCCACAACAUGUUUGGGCCGCUGUAACAGAAAAGCAUGCUACAAACUAGAUAAAAAACCAUGAAUGUAACCGUACACUAAUGCUAGUUAAAACCGGGGGAAUUGCGAACUACAAAGCAAUAUUCAAAGCAAGAACUGGAUGAUUUGGGAUAAAAGUUUCCAUGUUGCAAUACACUAUCAGUUACAACCAAGAAAGCCAACAUAUAACUUACUAUUCAAACAAGACCCCUGUAAUUUAGGACAAUGCAAAGUGAUGACACCUGUCGAUACCCUUCAGGCUGAAAGCACAUGUGCGCACCUCUGCAUUGCCUGACCGUGUCUCAUGUCAUCAACACUCCGAAACAUGAACUCAGGAGGUGCUCUUCGGACAUCAGUGGAUCACUUCCAGUUGCUGAUUUCAAUUAGCUCAGACAAUGGCAAGAGAGAGAUAUUGUCUGUAAGCUAAAGGCAUCUUUCCACCAAGUGUAUCUAGCUACAAUCUUUCUUUUUCUAAACUAAACUUCUAAACUAGGCUAUAUCAUGUAUUUUUUUUCCAAGCAAACUUUAGCAGUUUCAAUUUUGUCAAUUUUAUGAUGAAAUACCAACAAUAAAUGUGUUUUUCCGCUCUUGUGGCUUAAAGAAUGAGCUUUAUCAAUCGUUUUCGAAUCAGUCGGGUAUCAUAUGCAGGCCAAAUUUUGUCACCACACCGCCUUUCCCAUGAUCCUCAACAACUAAAUGUAACAGCUAUAACAGAACUAACGAUUUUGUCUUGUGCUGUUUUACCUACCCUCCCAAGAAUCCUGCAGGGCACAACAUUUGAGGCAGGGCUUUGGAGCCACAUCUGAACCUGUGCUGCAGGCAAGAAAUUAGGCACCUUUUGUUCUCCUUCCUUGAAGAAACGUGACACUGCGGCUCCCCUCCACCGCCCCGAAGCACAUGACAGAAGGUUUCAACAGAUCGGCGUAUUCUGCUCAACCACAUGGGCCCAGUGUGAGGAUGUCGCUGCCCGGGAAUCAUGUUUCUGACAGAGACGAGACUACUGUGCAAGCUGAUUUUCUUCACAGCUGUUACUCACUAGCUUUCCAGGUGCCAAUGACAAAUACACGCUGGACAGAUUGCUGUUAAACUUUACUGGAAGGAGUCAUUCAAGCAUGCCAAAUGGGUUCCCUACUUGCAUACCUCUGCAAAGGAUGACUGGGCACUAGAUAUAAGUGUGCUGUGUUUAAGAAAAAAAAAGAGGAGAGGAGAGGAGAAAAUAUUGUGUAACCUAUGUAGAUUAUUUUUAAAAGCUGACAUCUCUUUCAAAAAGUGCAAGAGAUCUAUUCAGGUGCUAAUCAGUGAAGCGAGCCGUAUAUCUUUCAACGUCAGUCUGAUGUUACAAGCAAGUAUAUUUUCUGUGAGUUUGGCCUGUGGCGCAAUAUAAAAAUGAGAUGACAGACAGGCAAUAGAAGAACAACUGCUUUCCAUUCCUUUGUAAUCGUUGUUUAGUUACGGCUACAUCUCUAGUGGGUAAAUAAAAUGCAGAAAUCAGCAAUACUGAAAUAACCCAAUAAAACAGCCCAGUGCUUUUGGCUCAGUUCUUUACGUUUGUUUAUUUGCAUACUCUUAGAUUCUGACCAGCAAACGUUGCGAACGCAGUACACAGUUCUUUCAGGCAAGACACCUGAAGUCAUAUCUGUUAGCAACUGCAUCCAAGUUCGCACGUGGCAUGUCCGAACAGAAAGUCUCCCGUUUGAUCAUUAGCAAAUUUGCAGUAUUUGCCAAUCCUGGAGCUAAAUGUCAAUCCGGCAUUGCCUAUCAUGCUAGGCUCUAAACAUUUAAUCUUUACACCAUGAUCGACCAGCAUUCAAGACCAUGAAGGUAUAACACUAUUCAUGUGAGUGGGGCAUGAUUCCAUUUUAAACUUGUAUUUCAAUUUUAUGUUUGCACAACUGUGAAACUAAGGCGUCUUGGGGGAACAUAAAUGGAUUGGGAAGACACAGGGCCAAAAGACUUGGAAUCCUAAUGCAGGCAAGGACGCUUGACCUCUAUCCCUCUUUCCCUCUCUCGCGCUCUCUCUCUGUCUGUCCUGCCCAACUAGUAAAACCAUGCUGAAACUGAAUACCACGGGAGGCUAGAAGCGUCCCUCUAAAUUCAUCCCCAUGCUUGACGAACAGCUCUUGAUAGAUCGGCUCAACAGACAUUCUGCUGAAUCACAAGGGCUCAACUGUGUGCCCACUGCAAUCACAGAAGGGGUAAACCAGCAGCCACACUCAUCAGAGGACUUCAGAUAGAGACAAACAGGUUUCUGAUGUGCACCUGUGUGUGAGAGGGUUGUAUAGUGUUCAGUGUUCAACCUCAUCCAUUUGAAAAUUAUGUGCUUUCUUAUAGAAUAAAGCAUUGCUGUAGUCUAAAAAAUAGUUGUGUAACAUAACAUGCUAUUUUUAUUCAUGUAGCUCGACUAGUAGAGCAUUGCACUAACAACGCCAUGGAAAGCAUGAAUUGAGAGCACUGAAUAAAAGCAUCUGCCAAA